GCGGGCGUGGCGGAACUGGCAGACGCGGCGGGUUUAGGUCCCGUUGAGCUCCGGCUCGUUGGAGGUUCGAGUCCUCCCGCCCGCA
rnacentral:tRNA from 1 species